rnacentral:misc_RNA from 1 species
UCUCCGUAGGUGAACCUGCGGAGGGAUCAUUACAGAGUUCAUGCCCUAACGGGUAGAUCUCCCACCCUAUGUUAUUAUCACUUUGUUGCUUUGGCGGGCCGUCAGGCCUCGGCUUGGCUACCGGCUCUCGCUGGUAAGCGCCCGCCAGAGAACCCCAAACCCUGAAUAUCAGUGUCGUCUGAGUACUAUAUAAUAGUUAAAACUUUCAACAACGGAUCUCUUGGUUCUG